rnacentral:rRNA from 1 species
UACGGAGGAUGCAAGCGUUAUCCGGAUUUAUUGGGUUUAAAGGGUGCGCAGGCGGAAUGAUAAGUCAGUGGUGAAAGCUUUCGGCUUAACCGGGAAAUUGCCAUUGAUACUAUCGUUCUUGAGUACAGUUGAGGUAGGCGGAAUGUGUCAUGUAGCGGUGAAAUGCUUAGAUAUGACACAGAACACCGAUAGCGAAGGCAGCUUACCAAAUUGAAACUGACGCUCAUGCACGAAAGCGUGGGGAUCAAACAGGAUUAGAAACCCCUGUAGUCC